rnacentral:rRNA from 1 species
UACGGAGGGGGCUAGCGUUGUUCGGAAUUACUGGGCGUAAAGCGCACGUAGGCGGCUUUGUAAGUUAGAGGUGAAAGCCCGGAGCUCAACUCCGGAAUUGCCUUUAAGACUGCAUCGCUAGAAUUGUGGAGAGGUAAGUGGAAUUCCCGGUGUAGAGGUGAAAUUCGUAGAUAUCGGGAGGAACACCUGUGGCGAAGGCGGCCAUCUGGAAGACAACUGACGCUGAGACGCGAAAGCGUGGGUAGCAAACAGG